CACUGUACAGCAAGGGGGUCAGGUUAUCCUUAGAUGUAUACAUUGCAGUUACAGUUUUUUCCCCCACCCUUUCUUCUGUUGCAACAUGAGUAUCUAGACAUAGUUCUUAAUACUAUUCAGCAGAUCUCCUUGUAAAUCUAUUCUAGGUUUAUGACGAGGGACUUUUCUGAGAGUCAUGGCUCGAUUUCUCCAUGGGCUUAUUAGCUUUUAGGUUAAAUAAUCUUACUCCCUUUAAUGUUACCAAUUUUGGAAUGAUAUUUUUGGCUUUUGUCUAAGCCUUCUUCCAAUUGAACAUGUGGCUUUUUGGAAGCUAGACUCCAGAACCAGGAACUGGUUAAUAUAAGGGCCAAGGACGUCCUUGAUAUAAGAGAAAGCCAUCAACAAAAGGAUUGGAAAAUUGGUAUAUAAGUCCCCUGGCAAUUAAUGAAACCUCCAAGCAAAAGACGUGGUCUUCUAGACAAAAGUGCUUUUCAGACAAACUUGUGAACUUAAGGAAUAACCAGAAUCUAAGAAGAAAAAUCAAAUGUCUUGUUUUUAUUUAUUUAUUUAUUUUAAAUGGCUGCAACUGCAGCAUAUGGAAAUUUCUGGGCCAGGGAUCAAAUGAGAUCAGCAGCUGUGGCAAUGCCAGAUCCUUUAACCCACUGCACCGGGCUGGGGAUUGAACCUGCACAUCUGCGGCAACCCAAGCUGCUACAGUGUGAUUCUCAAUCCACUGCACCACGGUGGGAACUCCAAAGGAGUCUUAAAAACAUUUUCAAGCACUAACCCAAAUACAGUCCAUUAGACAUUAUUUACUUGGACAGCUCGAACCAUGCAGCUAAACAUGAGAAGGUUGGGUUGGCCCAAGAGGUGAAAGACAGAAAUGUCCUAGCGAAAUUCUGUAAAUGUUAACAGAACAAAGUUAUGAAGAAUCAAGGGAAGGGAAUUAUGGAAAAUAGAAAUAGAAACUCCACUGCCUACAAGGUAAAAGAAAUUAAAUAAAAUUCCUGACUGAGCUAGGGAAGUAGGUCCAGAAAAAAAUAAAAUAUUAGUUGUGUGUGAGCUUUCGGUGUCAAGUCUUGAGAAUAAUAAGGUAACAAAAUUGCAAGCAUCAAGGAAGUGCACCGCUAGCUCAAAGGAUUAUGAAAAUGUAGCCUUCCCAACUGAAUUUGAAAAGGAAACAUAAAAAGAGGUCAGUUCAUCACAGGCGAAAAGGAGUUCCUAUUAUUUGGCUGGCUGUUUAAAUUAAUAUCCUAGAACAUUAGCAGGUUAAAGAGCCCUAUGAAAACGACAGAGAGAAGCAAAUGGCGUAGAAACAACAGUGUUUACACCUUAGUAACAGAAGGGUAUUGCUAGAAGGAUUUGCAAGGUACUAACAUGACAGACAUCAAAGUCCAAAAGGCUAGCUUUAAUAAAUGAUGCCAAAAGGCAUUAGGCAGGGAAGUAAAGCCAGAGGACUAGAAAUCACUCCACCUAUGCAAUACUAGAUUAUUUUAAACCAAGUAAGCCACCCCCAGAUCCAGGAAAGAUCCUGCUUUAUUAUUCCCUAAGUGGCCGUGUUCCCACUGCAUGAAACCUGUAAAGGCAGGUAGAUGGAGAAACUAAGAGUGAAAAGAAUAUAAAAUGCCUGUCCUUUCCAAGAUAAUAUUAUAAAUGCUGAAAGAAUCCUAAGAAAUACCUCGACCCACCGAGGUCCCAGCCUUUAUAUUCAAAAGGAAAGAAAAGUUGGAGUUCCCGUCAUGGCUCAACAGUUAGGAAUCUGACUUGCAACCACCAGGAUGCAGGUUCGAUCCCUGGCUUCGCUCAGAGGGUUAUGGAUCUGGCAUCGCUGUGAGCUUCUGUGUAGGUUGCAGACACAGCUGGGAUCCUACAUUGCUGUGGCUGUGGCCUGCAGCUACAUCUCCAAUUUGACCCCUAGCCUGGGAAACUCCAUAUGCCGUGGGUGCAGCCCUUAAAAAAAAAAAAAAAAAA
ensembl:lncRNA